GAUGAACGCUGGCGGCGUGCCUAAUACAUGCAAGUCGAGCGAACGGACGAGAAGCUUGCUUCUCUGAUGUUAGCGGCGGACGGGUGAGUAACACGUGGAUAACCUACCUAUAAGACUGGGAUAACUUCGGGAAACCGGAGCUAAUAACGGAUGAUAUUUUGAACCGCAUGGUUCAAAAGUGAAAGACGGUCUUGGUGUCACUUAUCGAUGGAUCCGCGCUGCAUUAGCUAGUUGGUAAGGUAACGGCUUACCAAGGCAACGAUGCAUAGCCGACCUGAGAGGGUGAUCGGCCACACUGGAAGUGAGACACGGUCCUGACUCCUACGGGAGGCAGCAGUAGGGAAUCUUCCGCAAUGGGCGAAAGCCUGACGGAGCAACGCCGCGUGAGUGAUGAAGGUCUUCGGAUCGUAAAACUCUGUUAUUAGGGAAGAACAUAUGUGUAAGUAACUGUGCACAUCUUGACGGUACCUAAUCAGAAAGCCACGGCUAACUACGUG
rnacentral:rRNA from 1 species